CCUGUGAUCCAUGGAAGUGGCUUGGGGCUUUAUGGCACAUGCAGCUGGGGACACCCAGCUCUGGCACCUGUGGAGAUUGCACACAGAUGGUUCUAUCCAGGAAUGCUGAAAGGAAACAAAGCCUAUGAAAAUCCUAACGUACUUUCUUGAGUCUGAAAACAGAUUACAACCUAUGGGAAACUUUAGGAAAAUGAACUAGAAGAAAACUCCAUGACCAUCAGCUCAGAUCAUAAACAUGAAACCUGAGGACCAGGACCUCCUCGGGGGGCCACCAGGACAAACGCCAUUCCUUCAACUUUCCUGGAAGAGACACUUCAAAUUAUCCUCAGUACUCCCAAUGAAAGAUUGCAGUCCUAUAUGCAACUGUCUCUACAUGCGCCAAUAUCUCCACUAAAUUAUCCAAAAGACCAAGUUCUUAACCACUGGCCAAUCACACACUAUAUCUGUGAGCCUAGAGGUGACCUCGGCUCCUUUUCAAAUGCCUGAGAGAGCAGGAGAAGCCUAUGAUUCUACCACAAAAGAGCUUCAGCUCACUUAUCAGUUUAUUCACAGAUCAGGCUAACUCUAGCCAGGGAAAAAUAUCUUCAAGAAAAUAUCCAGGAUCAUAUCCUUGAGGAACUCACCUUGAAUUUAGAAACUGCUAGCUAUGAUUGACGAUGGCAUUUUCAGCAAUUGUUUGUUUUUGGCUUCUCUUGCACCUCCCCAAAGAAGUCAUAAUCUUUUUAGUUUGUUUGAGACAGAGUCUCCCCACCAGCUGGCUUGGAACUCAAUAUGUAAAUCAGGCUGGCCUCCAU